CAAGGUGCACUAUGGAUAAUCAAGAACAAAUCCGAGGCAUCAGGCCAGCUAUGCCAAAUUCAGAGACAUCACUUCUUUGAGACUGGAAAGUUCCUAGUGCUGGUGCUUGGUGUCUUGAAACCAGCAAAUGCUAUUCUACAGUCUCAGUCAGUUGAUCUGUGCAGUGCUGCUGAAGUUGUUAGUGUAGCACUGGACUCCGUGAGGAUGACAUGCAUGAGGAUGACUGUUGGGGAGUGUCAUCUCCUGCUGAGGAUGACUGUUGGGGAUGUCAUCUCCUGCUGAGGAUGACUGUUGGGGGGUGUCAUCUCCUGCUGAGGAUGACUGUUGGGGAGUGUCAUCUCCUGCUGAGGAUGACUGUUGGGGG